AGUGAACGCUGGCGGUAGGCCUAACACAUGCAAGUCGAACGGCAGCACAGUAAGAGCUUGCUCUUACGGGUGGCGAGUGGCGGACGGGUGAGGAAUACAUCGGAAUCUACUUUUUCGUGGGGGAUAACGUAGGGAAAAUUACGCUAAUACAGCAUACGACCUACGGGUGAAAGCAGGGGAUCUUCGGACCUUGCGCGAGUGAAUGAGCCGAUGUCGGAUGAGCUAGUUGGCGGGGUAAAGGCGCACCAAGGCGACGAUCCGUAGCUGGUCUGAGAGGAUCAUCAGCCACACUGGAACUGAGACACGUCCCCGACCCCUACGGGAGGCAGCAGUGGGGAAUAUUGGACAAUGGGCGCAAGCCUGAUCCAGCCAUACCGCGUGGGUGAAGAAGGCCUUCGGGUUGUAAAGCCCUUUUGUUGGGAAAGAAAAGCAGCAGGUUAAUACCCCGCUGUUCUGACGUUACCCAAAGAAUAAGCACCGGCUAACUUCGUG
rnacentral:rRNA from 1 species